GUCUACAGCCAUGCUAUCCUGAACACACCCGAUCCUGUCCAGUCUCAGAAGCUAAGCAGGGUCGGGCCUGAUCCGUACUUGGAUGGGAGACUACCUAGGAAGACCAAGUGCUAUAGGUG
rnacentral:rRNA from 1 species